GAUGAACGCUAGCUACAGGCUUAACACAUGCAAGUCGAGGGGCAGCAUGUUGGUUGCUUGCAACCAAUGAUGGCGGCCGGCGCACGGGUGAGCAACGCGUAUCCAACCUACCGCAUAGUAGGGGAUAGCCCGGUGAAAAUCGGAUUAAUACCCUAUGUUAUUCGCAGAAGACAUCUGAAGUGAAUCAAAGGUUUACCGCUAUGCGAUGGGGAUGCGUCUGAUUAGGUAGACGGCGGGGUAACGGCCCACCGUGCCAACGAUCAGUAGGGGUUCUGAGAGGAAGGUCCCCCACAUUGGAACUGAGACACGGUCCAAACUCUUGGAUACG
rnacentral:rRNA from 1 species